CAAUAGCGUAUAUUAAAGUUGUUGCAGUUAAAAAGCUCGUAGUUGGAUUUCUGGUGGGAGCGGCCGGUCCGCCGUAAGGUGUGUACUUGGUUGUCUCCUGUCAUCCUUGUGGGAACUGCUCUGGCAUUAAGUUGUCGGGGUUAGGGAACACAUCGUUUACUGUGAAAAAAUUAGAGUGUUUAAAGCAGGCUUAUGCCGUUGAAUACAUUAGCAUGGAAUAAUAAGAUAGGACUUUGGCGUCUAUUUUGUUGGUUUGCACACCAAGGUAAUGAUUAAUAGGGAUAGUUGAGGGUAUUCGUAUUUAAUUGUCAGAGGUGAAAUUCUUGGAUUUAUGAAAGACGAACUUCUGCGAAAGCAUUUACCAAAGAUGUUUUCAUUAA
rnacentral:rRNA from 1 species